rnacentral:rRNA from 1 species
UACAGAGGGUGCAAGCGUUAAUCGGAAUUAUUGGGCGUAAAGGGCUUGUAGGUUGUUCUAUAAGUUAGAUGUGAAACCCCUGGGCUUAACCUGGGACGUGCAUUUAAUACUGUAGAGCUAGAGUAUAGUAGAGGAGAGGGGAAUUCCUGGUGUAGCAGUGAAAUGCGUAGAGAUCAGGAGGAACAUCUGUGGCGAAGGCGCCUCUCUGGACUAAUACUGACACUGAAAAGCGAAGGCGUGGGGAUCAAACAGG